rnacentral:lncRNA from 10 species
GGGGCUGCGCUGGUUGCCGCAGAGGAGCGCGGGUGAGCUCUCCCCGCUUGGAGCUUCUAGUCUUGUACAAAGGAAAAGCAUUUAUGCAAAUAGCUGUCAUGCAAUGCAGAGUAAAAUCAGUGUCCAAAAGAGAUGACUAGAACAAGAAGAGUGCCUCUUCAUUUUGGGGGAUCUUUCUUGGAGGAUGUGGCAUUUGAGAUGAACCUUGAAACAUCUCCUCAAGGCUGAGCAGGAUGGGGGAGGCUUCGGAGGUGGAGGGCAGGUGCAUGCAGGCACAGGGGUGGGCUGCACCUUGAGGGGCUGGUGUUGCUGGAAGCAGAGGGCACAGCUCUGGGAUUUGUGGGGAAGAAGGCUGACAGAGUACCAUGUAGAAGGGCCCCAGUGACAAGCUUGAGUAUUUGUGUUUAAAUCCCUGGGGAAGUUUUUGAGCUGAUGGCAUGUGCCAAGCUCUGCCUUGGGCCAGUACUAGUGGCAGCAUGUGGCAGGGUGACUACAGAGGGAGAGGGUGCAGGGAGCCUGGUCAGGAGACUGGCAGACAGGAGGCAGCCCAGUCACGUGUGACUGGGUUACAACAGGAACAGACCUGGGCUGGAGCAACCUAAGAGCCUUUGAAAGCACCUUUUGGGACUGUAAGAGGCUUGGUAGCCUGGAUGGCUGAUUCGAGGGUGUGAGUUGUGACUAUUUUCACCUCAAGUACCUUGAAAUGAGAAAAGAUGCCUCCAGGUUUCAGACGGGCUGGAUGCCUUUAGGAGGCCCCUUCAGUGGGAGGCACCUUGAAUGACAGCCCCAUAGCUAUGGGCCAGCCUGAUGGGGAGGAGGGAAGAGAGAUGGAGUGAGACGACAGCCAGUGCUCCUGUCUUACUUUACAGAGCAGCCGAUGGCAGUUCAGAGGCCACAAGUGACUUAAUGCACUGCGGGCCUUCGAGCCAUAAGACAGCCAUUAGGGAUGCCCAAGUCUGUCCCUGCCACCCAUCCAGACACCUCUCACUCUAUCAGCGAGAGUGGAACAUGGGCUUUGAGAGGUGACACGCAACACUAGGGAAUGUGUAAGGGUUCACCAGAGACUUGGAGCUGGGGCAGCAGUGCUCCUGGCUGUGCUCCGUGGAGCCCCUCCAAGAGGCCCAGCCCACUCCGAAUGGGCAGAGGUCGAGGGGCUGCCUGUCCCUGACUUGCUCCUGUCUCAGUCUUCUCUUUUUUCUACCUCAGAUCUUUCCCACUUCUUCCUCCAUACAUUUGUUUAUCUGUCCUUCUGUCUGUCCAUCCAUCCAUCCAUUCCAGGCUGUGCCACGUGCUGGGGAUAUGGCUGUGAGUGAGACAGCUGACCGCAUGGCAUUUGCACUCUUAUCUGUAGCUGGGUGUUUCAGCUUGUCAGGUUCAGACGCCCUUGGAUAGCCUGCUUUCCAGGAACAAUUCCAUAGAUUUCUGGCUUGGGCCCCAUCCUUUAGUUAAUGAACUCAAGGCUGUCAGGCUGUCCUUGAGGAGAGCUCAAGAUUUAGGCACGCUGGUCUGCCUUUCCCCUCCGUCCUCCAGCACUUCCUGAGUACCUGCUGUGGGGUGGUCACUGACAGGCACUGAGGGGUGGGGUAAAAUGACCCAGACACAGCCUCUGCUUUCUUAUAGAAGCUCAGUGACUGGAGCAGAGGCAGGUGGGCAAACUGUAGUUGGAGUCUGAACAAAGGGCCAAGAAGGAGGGAGGAGCAGACCUUUCUCCAGAGAGGGAGGUACCCUGGCCACCCUUUGUGUCCCUCUGUCUGUGAACUUUCCCACCAAAGCCAAACCCUGCUUGUUUUUUUCUUUUCUUUUUUGAGAUAGGGUCUCACUCUGUCACCCAAGCAAAGUGUGGUGGCACAAUCAUGGCUCACUGCAGCCUCGACCUCCCGGGUUCAAGUGAUCCUCCCGCCUCAGCCUCCUGAGUAGCUGGGACUACAGGUGCAUGCUACCACACCCAGCUAAUUUUUGUAUUUUUUGUAGAGAUAAGGUCUCACUAUGUUCCCUAGGUUCAUCUCGAAUUCCUGGGCUCAAGCGAUUCACCUGCCUUGGCCUCUCAAAGUUUUGGGAUUACAUGUGUGAGCAACCAUGCCUGGCCUUUCUUUUCUUUACUAGUCUCAGAAACUUAAAAAAACAAACAGAUUAAAAACAAGUAACAGUACCAUUCCUUCUUUUCUACCCCAACCCUUUCACCAUCGAUGUUACCGUCCUUCCUGAAUCACGGCCAAGUAUGGUAACACCCAAUCUCCUAGCCCCUGCCCUGUAGCCUCCCCCCACCAUGUGGGCCCCCUGCUAGGGAUCUCUCCAUUGUUCUCUUUUGGCACGGUUGCUAAAUGGUUUGCUCGGCAACGAAAGCAUUUUCUGUACUGUACAGUGGAAGAAGAUCCCAAAUUUGGAGUUUAAAAAUUGGGGGGAGGUGAGUAGCUCUCCCUUCUAAAAUGGUGCCCGUCUCACAGGCUCUUUUGGGUGGCAGUCAGCGCUUUGUGUCUAACCUGAACCCUGGCUUUGUGGGAGGCUGCCUUGUUUGAGGCUUAAAGGCACAGGGUGCCUCACAAGCUGUACCUUGUGUCAAAUGUGGGAAUAUUCAGCAUGGGUCAGAAAGGGGCUGUGGGCUGGCCCAUUGGUUCUGAUUGUGUGUGGGUGAGGGAGAGACCAAAGACUGAGCCCUGUCUCAUGCUGCCAGCCUGAGGAAUUCACAGAGAGGCAGAGAGAGCUUGGCAUUUACUCCAAAGCCCACAUCUCCCCAGUUGCCAACCAGCAGAGAUGUGGCAUGUUGAUUUCAUUUAUUCACUUUUCUUCUUCCCCUCUGAGAAUGCUGUAGUUACUUCACUUUUUUUGUUAAAAAAAAAAUAAAAGAAAAGUGAAGUCAGGCUGCCUUGUUCACAUGCUCAGAGAGCCCCCUGAAGGGCAGCCUGCACCUGCCAGCUUGCCUGGGUGGCAAGCUGAGAAUGAUCGGGAGCUGCCAGAGGGAUGAUGUCUCACAGCACCAUUUCUAUCUGAUUGUUCCAUCUGUACC